rnacentral:tRNA from 1 species
UAGACGGUACGGACUUAAAAUCCGUCGACUUUAGAAAUCGUGAGGGUUCAAGUCCCUCUAUCCCCA